rnacentral:lncRNA from 1 species
CUCAAUUACUUUGUCAGUGGGUCUACCACAUUAUUCAUGGAGCCUACUUUUUAAACUGCAACAUAUUUCUUUUCGAAGUAGUCACAUAUACCGCUGCUUUAUGUGCUUGGAUUUCUGGUGAGACCUAGGCUCCUUAGCAAAGGCUAUGGCAUCGUUGUCUUUGUAGUACAUUGUUGUAGCAUCUAAUGGCAUGACAUUCAGCUCUAC